rnacentral:rRNA from 1 species
GGGUUGUGAGGUUAAGCGACUAAGCGUACACGGUGGAUGCCCUGGCAGUCAGAGGCGAUGAAGGACGUGCUAAUCUGCGAUAAGCGUCGGUGAGGUGAUAUGAACCGUUAUAACCGGCGAUUUCCGAAUGGGGAAACCCAGUGUGUUUCGACACACUAUCAUUAACUGAAUCCAUAGGUUAAUGAGGCGAACCGGGGGAACUGAAACAUCUAAGUACCCCGAGGAAAAGAAAUCAACCGAGAUUCCCCCAGUAGCGGCGAGCGAACGGGGAGGAGCCCAGAGCCUGAAUCAGUGUGUGUGUUAGUGGAAGCGUCUGGAAAGGCGCGCGAUACAGGGUGACAGCCCCGUACACAAAAAUGCACAUAUUGUGAGCUCGAUGAGUAGGGCGGGACACGUGGUAUCCUGUCUGAAUAUGGGGGGACCAUCCUCCAAGGCUAAAUACUCCUGACUGACCGAUAGUGAACCAGUACCGUGAGGGAAAGGCGAAAAGAACCCCGGCGAGGGGAGUGAAAAAGAACCUGAAACCGUGUACGUACAAGCAGUGGGAGCCUCUUUAUGGGGUGACUGCGUACCUUUUGUAUAAUGGGUCAGCGACUUAUAUUCUGUAGCAAGGUUAACCGAAUAGGGGAGCCGAAGGGAAACCGAGUCUUAACUGGGCGUUAAGUUGCAGGGUAUAGACCCGAAACCCGGUGAUCUAGCCAUGGGCAGGUUGAAGGUUGGGUAACACUAACUGGAGGACCGAACCGACUAAUGUUGAAAAAUUAGCGGAUGACUUGUGGCUGGGGGUGAAAGGCCAAUCAAACCGGGAGAUAGCUGGUUCUCCCCGAAAGCUAUUUAGGUAGCGCCUCGUGAAUUCAUCUCCGGGGGUAGAGCACUGUUUCGGCAAGGGGGUCAUCCCGACUUACCAACCCGAUGCAAACUGCGAAUACCGGAGAAUGUUAUCACGGGAGACACACGGCGGGUGCUAACGUCCGUCGUGAAGAGGGAAACAACCCAGACCGCCAGCUAAGGUCCCAAAGUCAUGGUUAAGUGGGAAACGAUGUGGGAAGGCCCAGACAGCCAGGAUGUUGGCUUAGAAGCAGCCAUCAUUUAAAGAAAGCGUAAUAGCUCACUGGUCGAGUCGGCCUGCGCGGAAGAUGUAACGGGGCUAAACCAUGCACCGAAGCUGCGGCAGCGACACUAUGUGUUGUUGGGUAGGGGAGCGUUCUGUAAGCCUGUGAAGGUGGCCUGUGAGGGUUGCUGGAGGUAUCAGAAGUGCGAAUGCUGACAUAAGUAACGAUAAAGCGGGUGAAAAGCCCGCUCGCCGGAAGACCAAGGGUUCCUGUCCAACGUUAAUCGGGGCAGGGUGAGUCGACCCCUAAGGCGAGGCCGAAAGGCGUAGUCGAUGGGAAACAGGUUAAUAUUCCUGUACUUGGUGUUACUGCGAAGGGGGGACGGAGAAGGCUAUGUUGGCCGGGCGACGGUUGUCCCGGUUUAAGCGUGUAGGCUGGUUUUCCAGGCAAAUCCGGAAAACC